CUCCAUGGACCCUCUCUAGGUCAACUCAAAGCAGCCACUCUGUUGAAGUGCUUUGCCUGUUGUUCCAGAUUAUUCAAGAAAGAAGAAUCCUAGAUUUAAAUCCUGAUUUGUCAGAAAAAUAUCUUCUUUCAAAAUAUAUUUAUUAUGCACUUGCUAUAUGCCAGGCAUUGUGCUGGAUGCUGGGAAUACAGCCAUGAAAAGAUGGUCUUGACCUCGUGGAGCU
rnacentral:lncRNA from 1 species